UACGUAGGGUGCAAGCGUUGUCCGGAAUUAUUGGGCGUAAAGAGCUCGUAGGCGGUUUGUCGCGUCUGCCGUGAAAGUCCGGGGCUCAACUCCGGAUCUGCGGUGGGUACGGGCAGACUAGAGUGAUGUAGGGGAGACUGGAAUUCCUGGUGUAGCGGUGAAAUGCGCAGAUAUCAGGAGGAACACCAAUGGCGAAAGCAAUCUCCUGGACGCAAACUGACGCUGAGAUACGAAAGCCAAGGUAGCAAACAGG
rnacentral:rRNA from 1 species